rnacentral:rRNA from 1 species
UGUAAUCUAGAGAAGUGUUUUCCGUGCCGGCCCAUGUACAAGUCCCUUGGAACAGGGCGUCAUAGAGGGUGAGAAUCCCGUCCUUGACAUGGACCCCCGGUGCUUUGUGAUACACUUUCAACGAGUCGAGUUGUUUGGGAAUGCAGCUCAAAAUGGGUGGUGAAUUCCAUCUAAAGCUAAAUAUUGGCGAGAGACCGAUAGCGAACAAGUACCGUGAGGGAAAGAUGAAAAGCACUUUGGAAAGAGAGUUAAACAGUACGUGAAAUUGUUGAAAGGGAAACGAUUGAAGUCAGUCAUGCUCUUGGGACUUACCUCCCUUGAGUGGGGUCAACAUCAGUUUUGAUCGAUGGAUAAAGGCACUAGGAAGGUAGCACUCUCGGGUGAACUUAUAGCCUAGCGUCAUAUACAUUGAUUGGGACUGAGGAACGCAGCAUGCCUUUUGGCCGGGAUUCGUCCACGUACAUGCUUAGGAUGUUGACAUAAUGGCUUUAAACGACCCGUCUUGAAACACGGA